AAUGAACGCUGGCGGCGCGCCUAAUACAUGCAAGUCGAGCGAGAAGACGUAGCAAUACGUUUGUAAAGCGGCGAACGGGUGAGGAAUACAUGGGUAACCUACCCUCGAGUGGGGAAUAACUAGCCGAAAGGUUAGCUAAUACCGCGUACGCUCCUUGGACUUCGGUUCAGGGAGGAAAGCGAUACCGUGGGUAUCGCGCUCUUGGUUGGGCUCAUGUCCUAUCAGCUUGUUGGUGAGGUAACGGCUCACCAAGGCUUCGACGGGUAGCUGGUCUGAGAGGACGAUCAGCCACACUGGCACCUGCGACACGGGCCAGACUCCUACGGGAGGGCAGCAGUAAGGAAUAUUGACGCCAAUGGGCGAAAGCCUGACGCAGCGACGCCGCGUGGGGGA
rnacentral:rRNA from 1 species